rnacentral:rRNA from 1 species
UAGGGAAUAUUAGUAAUGGGCGAAAGCCUGAACUAGCAACACCGCGUGUGAGAAGAAGGCCUUCGGGUUGUAAAGCACUUUUUGAGAGGAUGAGGAAGGACGGUACUCUCAGAAUAAGUCUCGGCUAACUACGUGCCAGCAGCCGCGGUAACACGUAGGAAGCAAACGUUAUCCGGAUUUACUGGGCGUAAAGCGCGUGUAGGUGGUUUGGUAAGUAGAGCGUGAAAGCUCCUGGCUCAACUGGGAGAUGUCGUUCUAAACU